rnacentral:rRNA from 1 species
UACAGAGGGUGCAAGCGUUGUUCGGAAUUAUUGGGCGUAAAGGGAGUGUAGGCGGUUUUUUAAGUCUUCUGUGAAAUCUACGGGCUUAGCCUGUAACGUGCAGAGGAAACUGGAAGGCUUGAGUGUCGGAGAGGAUAGGGGAAUUCCCGGUGUAGAGGUGAAAUUCGUAGAGAUCGGGAGGAACACCAGUGGCGAAGGCGCCUAUCUGGCUGACAACUGACGCUGAGACUCGAAAGCGUGGGGAGCGAACAGG